GGCAGCAGCCGCGGUAACACCGGCGGCCCGAGUGGUGAUCGUGAUUAUUGGGUCUAAAGGGUCCGUAGCCGGUUUGGUCAGUCCUCCGGGAAAUCUGAUAGCUCAACUAUUAGGCUUUCGGGGGAUACUGCCAGACUUGGAACCGGGAGAGGUAAGAGGUACUACAGGGGUAGGAGUGAAAUCUUGUAAUCCCUGUGGGACCACCUGUGGCGAAGGCGUCUUACCAGAACGGGUUCGACGGUGAGGGACGAAAGCUGGGGGCACGAACCGGAUUAGAUACCCGGGUAGUCCCAGCCGUAAACGAUGCUCGCUAGGUGUCAGGCAUGGCGCGACCGUGUCUGGUGCCGCAGGGAAGCCGUGAAGCGAGCCACCUGGGAAGUACGGCCGCAAGGCUGAAGCUUAAAGGAAUUGGCGGGGGAGCACAACAACGGGUGGAAGCCUGCGGUUUAAUUGGACUCAACGCCGGACAACUCACCGGGGGCGACAGCAAUAUGUAGGCCAAGCUGAAGACUUUGCCUGAAUCGCUGAGAGGAGGUGCAUGG
rnacentral:rRNA from 1 species